AAAGAACCUGAAACCGUGUACGUACAAGCAGUGGGAGCCCCACCACUAAGCCAGUGGUGAACUCCACAUACGCAUCCUUUGCUGAAGGAUACGGUUAACGGAGCGAAAGCGACGUUCAACCGCAAAAGAAGCAGAGGGGGCUUAGUGGUGGGGUGACUGCGUACCUUUUGUAUAAUGGGUCAGCGACUUAUAUUCUGUAGCAAGGUUAACCGAAUAGGGGAGCCGUAGGGAAACCGAGUCUUAACCGGGCGUUAAGUUGCAGGGUAUAGACCCGAAACC
rnacentral:rRNA from 1 species